CCGAUGGAGGGGGGUAACUACUGAAACGGUAGCUAAUACCGCAUAACGUCGCAAGACCAAAGAGGGGGACCUCCGGGCCUCGCGCCAUCAGAUGAACCCAUAUGGGAUUAGCUUGUAGGUAAGGUAACGGCUUACCUAGGCGACGAUCCCUAGCUGGUCUGAGAGGAUGAUCAGCCACACUGGGACUGAGACACGGCCCAG
rnacentral:rRNA from 1 species